rnacentral:misc_RNA from 1 species
UAAUAAGCAUCAACUACUGAGGCAUUACAAUCUAACAAAUACAUACGAUACACUUCUGUCGAACAAUAGAAGAUAUCUGAUAUCUUUUCAUAUUUUGAGGCUUCAUCCUCCAUGACCAUGACCAUGACCAUAAUUUUAGUACAUAACUAACAAUCCUCAUGAAUAAUAUUUUUACAUCAUCCCGCAUAAUAAAUAUUACAUCAUGUUUCCUUCAACAGCAUCUUCAAAACUGUCCACUAUUCUUAUUAAUGAUACAGAUACAAGCCAAGCCCGAAACGAGCACAUGCUCUGCAAAAUGCUAUCUCCUCAGCAGCAGCAACCACAUCUGUGUACUGUCCAUUGCCUGGUGAUACUGUUCCAGUUGAUUCACGGUGUGCCUCUCCAUCUGAUCCGCGUAUAGUGACACGAUAAACAACUGUCACACUUCCAUUAUCUGAGAAAAUGACAUCUCGUACUUCCCCGCACCAGCCUGGAGCGUAGAAGCUCAACAUCCGGUUAGCAUGGUACCAGGUGAUAAAGGUGGAGUGAUCAUCAUUGUUACCAGCUUUGAUGAUGUUAUCAGGAAUUCUCUUGUUCAGGUCACGUAGGAUCUCGGCCAAGGGACGAGUAAUGCAAGACGAAGCCUUGUCUAGUGGCACCACGUAGUUCGUGUUCGGAACCGAUGAUGACGGCGAUGAAGCGGCGUUCUUACUAGCGCCGACGCCGUCACCGGUGCUACUGUUGUUACUGUUCCGGUCCAAAGCUUUGACUUGCAGUUUCGAUGUUCUAGUAGAAAAACUAUUGAAGCCGAAAUGAAGCUCCGGGGCCGGACUCCGCCGUGGAUUUGGGAGCCGCAGCGUUGGUAGGUGGGCGUCCGCCGCCGGCAGCGAUGACUUUGUGCAAUGCGCUAACAUUUUGAGUAUUUUUCGCA